GUACAGGGUUGUGUAUGGCUGUGUAGGUUUGUGUAGGCUCGUGUGGGGAUGUGUAUGUCUAUGUAGGCAUAUGUAGGGUUGUGUAUAGCUAUGCAGGCUUAUGUGGGCUAAUGUAGGCUUAUAUAGGUCUGUGUAGGGUUGUGUAGGUCUAUGUAGGCUAGUGCAGGUCUAUGUAGGCUAGUGCAGUACUGUGUAUGGUUGUGUAAGCUUAUGUAGGGUUGUGUAUGGCUAUAUAGGACUUAUAUAGGUCUGUGUAGGCUUGUAUAGGGAUGUGUAUCUCUAUCUAGGCUUA